GUUACGAAGGCCGAGUGGUUAAGCCGUUCGACUGAAAAUCCAACGGGAUCUUCCCGCGCAGGUUCGAAUCCUGCCCGCAAUG
rfam:Nematostella vectensis strain CH2 x CH6 NEMVEscaffold_486_Cont28486, whole genome shotgun sequence.